rnacentral:rRNA from 1 species
GCAGGCUCACGCUUGAAUACAUUAGCAUGGAAUAACGAAUAGGACGUUCGAUCCUAUUUGUUGGUUUCUAGGAUUGACGUAAUGAUUAAUAGGGAUAGUUGGGGGCAUUAGUAUUCAAUUGUCAGAGGUGAAAUUCUUGGAUUUAUUGAAGACUAACUACUGCGAAAGCAUUUGCCAAGGAUGUUUUCAUUAAUCAAGAACGAAAGUUAGGGGAUCGAAGACGAUCAGAUACCGUCGUAGUCUUAACCAUAAACUAUGCCGACUAGGGAUCGGAUGAUGUUAAUUUUUUAAUGACUCAUUCGGCGCCUUACG